CCCAAGGACAGCCCCUACUAUAUUCUGAGAAUUCAGUUGGCAGGAGCGUACCCAUGCAAGAUCUGCAUCUGGGCCGUGGCAGUCAGACCGAGCUCCUUCUCCUGGGAGGGGGCAUCCGGGCAAGAGGAGAGAACCAGCACGCGGUGUGCAGCAUGAUGGGGAAUCAGCAGAAACAGAACUACCCAGGCUUGGCUCGGGAAUCAGAUACGCCAGGCAGGAAUUCGCCCUUGGGAAGCUGUUGCUUAACCCUCUGGUUCCUCGGGCUCCCUGCCUCCUUGACAGAGGCCAAGGCAAACAAGGAUUCCGGGUGAGACCAGACCGACCAGCCGAUGCCAGCUCACUUGGGGUUAGACCGGGGCUGGGAGGGGCCCAGGCAACCCUGCAGGAUGCCGGGUGCUGGGUAGGGCCCCAGGGGGAGGCAGGUUUCUGCAGCUCCCUUUUCCCAGUGGAAAAGCUCAGGAUUCCCAAAGGCUGUUGGGCAAGAGUCUCAAAUUGUCUUCAGACUGGGUCUAAUCUAGCUAGAACCACUUGGGAGCCAGGAUGUAGCUGGAUCCAGUGACAGGCGUCGCUGAGAAGGGAAGAGAGGUCCGGCGACAACUGGGAUCUCCAGUUGACCCAGUCUCAAGGGUGAGCCCAGCCCCUGGGUGUAGGGCUAGGAUCUGUGGCCUUUGGCCAACAGCCGACAACUUGGUAGAGGGUUUCUUCCAUUAUCAGAGGGAAGGGAAGGGGGAGAGGCAUGGGAGAUGGUUGUCUGGGUGUGUUUAUUUUCUUUUAAAAUAUCAACUUGAGUGGGGGGUGCCCACAGGGACACGUAGGGCACGUCGAUGGUCAGCCUGUUCGCUGGGCAAUCCAUGUAAUCUCUGUCCUGCACUGUAUACUGUUGGCACUUGACCAAUGGGUGAAACGCCCCCGUCAUGGCGGCCAUCUUUACGUGAGCAUCUGGACGGCACAGAGGGCUUCUGACACUCACCAGGACUUCUUUCCCAUUAAAAACGGACAGGCUGCAGCAGUCUGGAAGGAGACCAGGGAGAUUAACUCUAAGUUGAAAACAUUUCUCCUUUCUCCAGGAGCCCAAAUAGCACACUGGAGAUCUUGAAGAAUAGGGAGAGGAGGGUUAGCUGACAGUCGGUGCUGUCCUCAGACGAGGUGUCUCUGAUGAAUGAAAUCCCAGGGAGUGCAUUUCUGCUCUUAUAUCUGUCUCUGGCCAGGGCGGUGAGACUAGGCACCUGAUCCUUCUAGUCCAUCGAUUUGCUGUUACUCAGCUCCAAACGCAGAAGUUCAGAGGACAAGCUGCUCCCAGGAGGUCACAAACAGCCUCAACAGUUCAAGAAGGUAAAAAUUGGUGGUUGGAGGUGAGAGAAGCCAGCGAGGGAGGAAGACCACGUCCCAAGGAGGCUCAUGCUCACCACUGUCCGGGUUUUGAAACUCUAGUUUGCCCUGGGGCGCCUGGGGGGCUCAGUCGGUUACACGUCGGACUCUUGGUUUCAGCUCAGGUCGUGAUCUCACAGUUUCGUGGGUUCGAGCCCCGCAUGGGGCUCUGUGCCCACAGCCUUGACAGGGCGGAGCCUGCUUGGGAUUCUCUGUCUCCCUCUCUCUCUGCUCCUCCCCCGCUCGAGCGGUCUCUGUCUCUCUCAAAAUAAAUAAAUACACUUAAAAAAAAAAAAAUCAAGUUUGCUCUCUUCGGUCCCUUGGCUUUGAGGCUGUCUCGACAGACACGAGGAGAAGGCUCAGUACGUGGGAGACAGGCCAUCUGGGCCGGGACCAAAGAGCUGCACAUUCUCAGGUGAGUUCGGGUGAGUCACCGGCCCAGGCCUCUUUCUAGUUAAGCAGAGGCCAUGCCCCAGUUUUGAACACCUGAAGGCCCUGCGGUGGUGGGUGAGGAGCCCGCCCUGAUCUGCAUACAAUGGGGGACAAUUGAAGGUCCAGGUUGGAGAACCGGAACUGAGAACCCACUGCCCUCCGUGCUGCCCCUAGGGGUCUUAUCCCCUUAUUCGCUUCAGUGCUUCCUGGUCCCCUGAGCCAUGCAAGCCUGGCUCCCCUCAAUUCACUGGGGGUGGGGGGAAAGGGGGGUGCCUUUUUGAGUAGUCCUCAGCCAACCCCUCUUCCACAGGGCAAGUCCCUUCUUCAAGGCCAGACGUCCCCUGUUGACGUCACACCCAUGGAGGGAGAAGAAACACCAAGAAGGGGUGAGGCGGUGACGUCGCCCCGUGUUCUCGCAGGGCUGAGGAGGUCCGUGCUCUACAUUCUUCCGUGUUGGCUCAAGCCAGAGCCCCUGUGAUGCAAACCAGGACGAGGUAGAGCCACUCCUGGAUGCCGACAUCUUUUGUUAAAGAGCACGUGAGGUCACAUACACAACAAUCCCAACUGGGUUAAUUAAUUCACCUACUCAUUCAGUGUGUGAAAAUCCUCCCGGUUCUUGCAGGCUGGGUGGCUUUGGAUGACGUCUGGUUGAUGAAAGACAGAUCUGGAUACAAAACCUGUAAGUUCUCGAAUGCCAGUCUACUGCCCUGGACGGCAUUCAGAGGGGAGCUAUUGGAAGUCGAUAAGUAAAAAGAAAACAAACCUGCUUUUCUUUUUCUUAAUGCUUGGCCCCUGCACAAUAAGAGUUUACCUACAGAUUCAGCAAACUCUGGAGUGCUGGGUGGUUCUGGGGACCAGCCAGGAUGCUGGCUGCGGGGUGUGGGGUCCUUCGCCUACCGGUCCUGGUGGUUCAGGCAGCUGUUGACAGGGCCUCUCUGCUGUCCUGUGGCAGGAAAUAAGGAAGCAGAGGGAGGGCAGUCGGGGGAGGGUUGGAGUGACCUAACCUUUCCCUUUUAGGUCCGAGGGCCCUCCCUCAAGGCGCACACCGCGUGAGAAAGGGACCCACAGCUCAGGAACCAAAACAGACACACCCAGCCCAGUGACCUCCCCACCAGCCAGUGACCAACAGCAGCCAGUCAACAGCUCUCAUCAAGAGGGCCCUAUGUACCUGACACCAUGGGGGAUCCAAUUUCCUGCAGACCAUGGCUUGGGGUUUACGUAAGUCUAAUUAGGGAAGUGAGAGGCACGUAUAUGAGAAAAAGAGUGGAUAGACUCUGGCCAAGGUAGGCUUGGGAGGAAGUGGAUAUUCAGCAUGGCAGUGCUGGGGGUCUUGGGGCUGGGCAGGAGCGGGGGUGGGGGUGGGGGGCUGUGGGAAAUAAAACAGCAAAGUAGGUUCCAAUCAGCUUAUGGAUGGUCCUCAGGCUAAGGGUUUGGACUGCGUUCAGAGGUCAGCCAUGGAAAAGCUUUGGGAGGAGAGUCAGUAUUUAUCGAGAACCUAUCAUGUGCGGUGGACUGUGGUUGGAAUUGGUGGCUCAACCAUGACUAAGACAUGGUCUUUUCCCUUAGAGACCUUUCCCGUUUGGGGGAUAUGAUGGAUAAGAAACAGGUAAUUUCAGUAAAAUGUGCUCAGUGCCGUGGCAGACAUAUUCACAGGUUGCUCCGGAGCCUAAGGACGAGGCUUGAAGCCUGGUCCGGUGGAAGGCGGGGAAGGGCAAGCAGGGAAGCUCUUGGCACCAGAAGGAGCUGGAACUUUAUCCUAAGGGCAGGGGAGAGACGGUGGACUGGAGGAAGGACCCAGAACGAAGGGAGUGGCAGGGAGGAUGCGUGAGAACGUAGGAGGUAGCCAAACAGGGCAAAGGAGGAGGAGAAUGGGAAAUGCAGGAAGAUCCGAAGAGGAAAGAACGUCCUCCAGAAUGUGACUGAACGUGGCUGGAGGGGAGACAGAGGCCGGAACUGAAAAGGGGCGAGUGAAAUAUGACCGAGAGGGACAGGCCCCUCCGCAGCUCUCCGGAUGGUGGGUCGCCUGGCCAUGGGUGACGCAUGGAGCCUCAGGUGAAAGGGGCAUUAGAAUAGACGUAUUAAUUCUUUUUGUUAUAGAAGGAGAAGGAGGAGGAGGAGAAGGAGAAGAAGAAGGAGAAAACUACCCCUGCCCCCCACCUCGCCCCCCGACCUCCCAAAGACCACCACCACGGCUAACACUCUGGAAAUUUUUCUGCCGAUGCAUUGUCGGUUUUUAUUUGGUUUUCACAUUACUGUAAUCAUAACCAUGUUUACAAUCCUGCAUCCCGCUGCACUUAACAUCCUGGUGUGUGUAUUCUUCUGCACGUUAAAUUUAUCCUGGUUGCUGCGAAGGUUUGUAUUUAUAUAUAUGUUUACAUGCAAAGGCUCCCUUCACUGGUUUUCUCUUGGGAGAAAGAGGCUUCCCCUCACUGCCUUGCUCUAAGGUCUAAACUCCCAGAAGCUUUGAGGCACCUGCUGGACAGAGGGAAGAUUUCGGGCGAUGGCAGUUCUCACCCGGAGGGGCUGGGGCCGGCAGGUCAGUUACUCCUGGCCGGGGACAGUUGUCAAGAUGAAGAGGACGGGAAGGCGAAUCUGGGCCAAGGCAUGUAAAGGUGUUUCCUGGAUUUUUCAAGACCCUAGAGUGUCAGAGAAAGGGAAAUGUAACAUAUUCUACUCGGAGAGGAAAUAAAUGUGUGGUCUGUCAACUA
rnacentral:lncRNA from 1 species